rnacentral:rRNA from 1 species
GACGUAGGUGGCGAACGUUAUCCGGAAUUAUUGGGCGUAAAGGAUGCGUAGGUGGUGUAGUAAGUUAUCGGUGGCAAAUCGAGGCUCAACCUCGUGGAAGUCGGUAAUACUGUUAUGCUAGAGGAUAGGAGAGGUUAACGGAACUCCCUGUGGAGCGGUGAAAUGCGUAGAUAUAGGGAAGAACACCAAUCAGGCGAAGGCAGUUAACUAGUCUAUUCCUGACAUUGAGGCAUGAAAGCGUGGGGAGCAAAACGG